CACACAUACACACACACACACACACACACACAUAUAUAUAUAUAUAUAUAUAUGUAAUAUAUAUAUUCACUCUUUGUAAUACAACUGGAAAGACAAUGUAAUUCCUAAAACUGAAUGAUGAUACUUGAGAGAAUAAUCAAAUAACAAAAUGUGUGUGGAAAAUAACAUUUUUAAAAAAGAUAUAGUGAAAAUCAUAUAAAUGAGAACAAUGUGUUAUUGACAUAGGGAUAAAAACCCACAAACAGAUGAGAAUCCAAUUCCCAUGGGACAAGCUAAUGUGGGUUUUUUUUUUCAAGCUGAAACUUUUGGUAAUUUAUUCCUAAAAUAGAGAAAAAUAAAUUGAAUAAAUCAUGCAUAAAAUAUUUUGUAAAUAAAUACAUUUUAUUUACACUGUCACACUCCUUCAAAAGCCCCCAUUUGCACAGUUUUGCUAAAGCUAUGGGAAAAUGCCUUUUCACUCCUGUUGGAAGAGAGUCAGUUGUUCUUUACAGUCCUCAGUUUAAUCCAAGGGAUGUUGAAAAGAAGUGUUCAUACAGUAUAUGACUCAACAGAGACACUGCUGGGUUUAACUCCAGUCUUGCACAGUGGGAAAAUGGAUGAAUAUGAUUGAUUUAGCUCCUUCUAUCUUCAUGUGGAUGAAAAUGUAGCUUAAAGAAUGCACACAGGAUGCUUACUACUCAUGGUCACCCUUUGUGCAAAAACUGAUAGCUGCUUGGGAGCUUGAGAGUCUGCCUCUUGGUGUACACCCAGGGUCUCUCUCAGUUGUUCCUGUCAGCCCCUCUCAGCUUUUCCUUCUAGCUCUUCUGCAUUCCUUUGUGAAUCCCCAGCAACCUGCAGAAUACCUCCCUUCUAGGGACUCACAGCCUCCACCCUUGGCCGGGACUCAAAUCAGUGCAUAGCUCAACCUUCAUCAGAGAAAUAUCUCUAAAGUUGCUCACUUUCUACACACAGAGACCCACAACCUUGCCAAGACAAGGUGGUCCAGUCCUGCAAAUUAUCCUAGUCCACAGAAAUGUCUGUAGAUAUGCUAGGCCUAUAGGCUAAAGAUGGAUGCCCCAACGUUGCAGAGAAAUCUAGGGUGGCUGUCAAGCAGUCAGCUGUUUCUGUCAUUUCUCACAUUUUUUGGAAGUCACUUGCUUGCACUUCCUGUUUACUCAGUUAAUAUUAUUUCCUUUUUGGGUCUCUGAGGGAGUUGAAGACUAGGAAGUAUAGUUAUAGGUUUCCUUACUUACCAGAAUCAGUAAAGAAAUUCACAAGAGAUGCAUUAAGUGUAAUAGGUUUCAAAGAUAUUAAAUGAUAAUUUGAUAAUGCAAAUCAGAAUAGAAAGUACAUUGGGUACAAGACUUUGGACUCAUCAAUAAAGAAUAGAUAAUGGAAUAUUUUCUCUGAAUUUGUCAAAUUCUAAUGGAAUAUAAUUGUUAAUGUAAUUACUGCCUGUAAAUAUUGUAUAUACUUAUUGUACUUAUUGUAAAUAGCUUUUCUUAUAAUAGUUAUACUUUUUAAAAUUUUAGACAAAAAAGGGGGAUGUAUGGUGAUAUCUUGCUUGUAUAAAUAAAGCCUGUCUGAAGGUCAGAAAAUGGAGCUUGUCACUAGCUAACUUUAGAGGUCUGGAAGUCUGUAAAAACAGACAGGAAGUGAGGUAGCUGGGCAGAAACAGGAUAUAAGCAAGGAGAAAGAGGAACUGGCUCUCUUGUCUGCUGAGACUCAAAGGAGAUAGGGUGUGGCCAUGGCUUGCUCUUUCUCUCUGAUCUCUCAGCAUCUUCCUCUAGGUCUGAGUCUGGGUUUUUGUUAUCUAGACCAAUUAAGAACUCCAUUUAUAGGAUAGACAGUGUGCAGAAAAUGAGUGACUUUAGAGUAACCAGUCCUACAUGGGAUGUCUUUAUCAAAUCCAUCCCCUCAGUGUUCAGGGAUCUAUGAGGAAGAGGCAGAAAGUUAAUAAGAAUCAGAGGUGGUUAAUGAUUCCAAGGAAAUAAUGUCUUCAACAUUCAACAGUCCUGAUAUUCAUAUGAUCUCACAGAGACUGUGAUAGCAUGCCCUAAACCAGCAUGGGUUCAAACCAGACAAAUUCCUGGCACAGAGAAGUGAACAGAAACUAUUUGCAAUUGGUACCUGUUAGGAAAAGGAAAAUAAGUUUUCUCCAAUGGAUUGUCACUGGGUAUUUCAACCACACUCCAUGGCAGGUUCCAUACCCAGGAAGAGUUAACCAACACAAAAUGAACAACAUAUUGUUUUGGGGUUUUAGAAGGGUUCUUGUUGUUUUGUUUUGGUAUUUUUUUCUUACCUUUUGUUUUGUUUUGCUUUGCUUCAUUUUUUAGGAGAAUGAGAACAUGAGAUUUGGGGGAGGGUGUGUGGGGGAAACAAAACAGAACAAUGUAAGCAAAUCAAAUUGGAAUCUAUGGUGCUGUAUGAGUCCCAUCCUUGAAGAGAAAUCAAUGUAAAUAUGUUCAAACUACAGUGUGCCAGAUGAUGUGGGAAUUAUGGGUUAUUAUGUGAAAGAACAAGGUACAGGAAUGGAGCCCUGUAAUGAGCACAGUAAAAAAAAAUGCCUUUUAGAAAUGUAAAAAUAGCCAAGUCACGAUCCCCUCUGCACACAAGGCUGCACCUGAUAACCAGAACCCAGUGACAUCACUCACUCAAGAUAAGUAGACACAGUCUCAGAAACCCAUAAUGCCCAAUGGACAGUUUAUAAGCAGAGACCAAGAGCAAUGUUCUGCUCUGCACAUUUGGAGAGAUGCCUCUGUGAUAUGUUUUGUGGCUAGAGAACUCCUACCCCAGGACCCUGACUUUCAAAUCAAAGACUUCUGUUAGAGAUUGGACAUGACUUUCAGCUAAGAUAUGUCACACAGGUGAGCAACUUUGGGGAGAUAGGCUUAGGAACAUAGUUAAGAAUUUAGAAUGUGAACUUUGUGUGAUAACCUACAGCAUAAUAAAAUACAACUUUUGUUAUGCUAUGAGUAUCUACCGUCUUGUCUGCAACAGUUGACAUAACAGAAUUUUAGAUGAUUCUUAGAAAAGGUGAAACUAAGGGGGGGGGACUUGCUAUUCUAAAGACACUUCUCCCCAGGGAGAAGGGUGAAUUCUUGACUGCAAGACUUCCACAAAGGCACAGGCUUCUGUCCUAAGACCAGAGAUGUUCAAAAGAAGGAAGAAACAAGAAUCCUGUGGCAUGAAGGCAUGAAGGCACCAGCUUCUGCCUGAAGACCAGUAGUGGGAGCAGAGUUAACACUGGAUAGCCAAGAGAAGGACGAAGCUUCAACCUGAAAGGCUGGUCAUAAAUCAGGCCUCCUCUACCAGUAACCUAAAUUGGUACAUUAGAAAAAGAGAAGCCAAUUCCUCUAUUACUUGGCCAACAAAUUGACAAGAUGCAGAGACUAAUAAGAGAAAUCUCAAAAACAUGAAAGCAAAGAACAAGAACUGUCCCAGCAGUAGAUGCUACAGAACUUAUUAUCACUUGGCACAACAAAAGUUCUCUAGGCUCAAGAAGGAAAUUACAUUUGGUAUUCCGUUGUCCAUAUCAAUGGUAUUUGAGCCCUUGCUAAAGAAAGCAGAGACUUAAAAGGU